GGAUUCCCCUAGUAACUGCGAGUGAAGCGGGAAAAGCUCAAAUUUAAAAUCUGGCGGUCUUUGGCCGUCCGAGUUGUAAUCUAGAGAAGCGUCACCCGCGCUGGACCGUGUACAAGUCUCCUGGGAUGGAGCGUCAUAGAGGGUGAGAAUCCCGUCUCUGACACGGACUACCAGGGCUUUGUGGUGCGCUCUCAAAGAGUCGAGUUGUUUGGGAAUGCAGCUCUAAACGGGUGGUAAAUUCCAUCUAAAGCUAAAUAUUGGCGAGAGACCGAUAGCGAACAAGUACCGUGAGGGAAAGAUGAAAAGAACUUUGGAAAGAGAGUUAAACAGUACGUGAAAUUGCUGAAAGGGAAACGCUUGAAGUCAGUCGCGUUGGCCGGGGAUCAGCCUCGCUCUUGCGUGGUGUACUUCCUGGUUGACGGGUCAGCAUCAAUUUUGGCCGCUGGAAAAAGGAUUAGGGAAUGUGGCAUCUUCGGAUGUGUUAUAGCCCUUUUUCAUAUACAGCGGUUGGGAUUGAGGAACUCAGCACGCCGCAAGGCCGGGUUUCGACCACGUUCGUGCUUAGGAUGCUGGCAUAAUGGCUUUAAUCGACCCGUCUUGAAACACGGACCAAGGAGUCUAACAUGCCUGCGAGUGUUUGGGUGGAAAACCCGAGCGCGUAAUGAAAGUGAAAGUUGAGAUCCCUGUCGCGGGGAGCAUCGACGCCCGGACCAGAACUUUUGGGACGGAUCUGCGGUAGAGCAUGUAUGUUGGGACCCGAAAGAUGGUGAACUAUGCCUGAAUAGGGUGAAGCCAGAGGAAACUCUGGUGGAGGCUCGUAGCGAUUCUGACGUGCAAAUCGAUCGUCAAAUUUGGGGUAUAGGGGGC
rnacentral:rRNA from 1 species